CCUACGGGAGGCAGCAGUGGGGAAUAUUGGACAAUGGGCGAAAGCCUGAUCCAGCAAUGCCGCGUGAGUGAAGAAGGCCUUCGGGUUGUAAAGCUCUUUUACCCGGGAUGAUAAUGACCGUACCGGGAGAAUAAGCCCCGGCUAACUCCGUGCCAGCAGCCGCGGUAAUACGGAGGGGGCUAGCGUUGUUCGGAAUCACUGGGCGUAAAGCGUACGUAGGCGGCCAUUCAAGUCAGAGGUGAAAGCCCAGGGCUCAACCCUGGAACUGCCUUUGAAACUAGAUGGCUGGAACACGGGAGAGGUGAGUGGAAUUCCGAGUGUAGAGGUGAAAUUCGUAGAUAUUCGGAAGAACACCAGUGGCGAAGGCGGCUCACUGGACCGUUGUUGACGCUGAGGUACGAAAGCGUGGGGAGCAAACAGGAUUAGAUACCCUGGUAGUCCACGCCGUAAACGAUGAUAACUAGCUGUUGGGGCUCUUGGAGCUCCAGUGGCGCAGCUAACGCAUUAAGUUAUCCGCCUGGGGAGUACGGGCCGCAAGGUUAAAACUUAACGAAAGUAGUAGGACGNGNGACGNGCGACGAGCACGACGGAGGAG
rnacentral:rRNA from 1 species